rnacentral:rRNA from 1 species
GAUGAACGCUGGCGGCGUGCCUAAUACAUGCAAGUCGAGCGAACAGACGAGGAGCUUGCUUCUCUGACGUUAGCGGCGGACGGGUGAGUAACACGUGGAUAACCUACCUAUAAGACUGGGAUAACUUCGGGAAGCCGGAGCUAAUACCGGAUAAUAUAUUGAACCGCAUGGUUCAAUAGUGAAAGACGGUUUUGCUGUCACUUAUAGAUGGAUCCGCGCCGCAUUAGCUAGUUGGUAAGGUAACGGCUUACCAAGGCAACGAUGCGUAGCCGACCUGAGAGGGUGAUCGGCCACACUGGAACUGAGACACGGUCCAGACUCCUACGGGAGGCAGCAGUAGGGAAUCUUCCGCAAUGGGCGAAAGCCUGACGGAGCAACGCCGCGUGAGUGAUGAAGGUCUUCGGAUCGUAAAACUCUGUUAUUAGGGAAGAACAAAUGUGUAAGUAACUAUGCACGUCUUGACGGUACCUAAUCAGAAAGCCACGGCUAACUACGUG